GACGAACGCUGGCGGCGUGCUUAACACAUGCAAGUCGAGCGGUAAGGCCCUUUCGGGGGUACACGAGCGGCGAACGGGUGAGUAACACGUGGGUGACCUGCCCUCAGCUCUGGGAUAAGCCUGGGAAACCGGGUCUAAUACCGGAUAUGACUCCAUGACGCAUGUUGUGGGGUGGAAAGCCUUGUGCGGCUGAGGAUGGGCCCGCGGCCUAUCAGCUUGUUGGUGGGGUGAUGGCCUACCAAGGCGACGACGGGUAGCCGGCCUGAGAGGGCGACCGGUCACACUGGGACUGAGACACGGCCCAGACUCCUACGGGAGGCAGCAGUGGGGAAUCUUGCGCAAUGGGCGAAAGCCUGACGCAGCGACGCCGCGUGAGGGAUGACGGG
rnacentral:rRNA from 1 species